GAUGGAUAUGCCCCAGUUUUUUAUGUGGACCCCUAAGGAGCAUAGACCGAACAUAAGCGUGACCUGCCCUGCGGUUUCCAAUUCACUGAAGAUCUGGGACGCAGCCGCUCCUAAAUAUUGAUUGAUAUCCUCCCCUUCUCUAUUGACCCCUCUAUUGAGGAACAAAGCUUUCCUACCAGGAAUGACAGCCCGGGAUUUUAGGGGCAUAGAACGUGCAGGACUGCAGAGAUUACACCAACUGUUCGAGGGGGGGUCAUUUGUGACGUUU